rnacentral:tRNA from 1 species
AGGUGGCACAAUGGCUCAGUGUGUCUGGCUGUUAAGCAGAAAGUUGGUGGUUCAAGCCCACCCAGGGAUG